UGAAGACACUAAUCAUACUAAUCAUUCCGUGUCGUGGCUUGUCGUGUCGUGUCGUGUUUUGCCGUGUCGUGCCGUGCCGUGCCAUGCCGUGCCGUGCCUGUCCUGAUCUUAUUCAAUCCAAUUCGAUGUUGUUGCAUUUUUUCGAAUGAAUUUUGUUUUAAUUUUUUUAUUAUUCUUUCUUUUUUUUCUUAAUUUCUGCUGUUUCAAAAUAUUCUAAUUUAUGCGUAUAUUCGUUUGAUUUUCAAUAUAAUUUUAAUCCAAAUAACAUGUUCCAACUCGUGGGACACAGUUGAUGGAUUCAAUUUUAUCAAUAAUAUCAAUGAAUUUAAGCGAUAAAAAUGAUCGACUUUACGAAAUCCCAAUUGGCUGCAUGUUUUUAUCAUUUCAUUCACUUUUAAAACAGCCGCGUAUUUUCCGUGUUUGUCGAUAAUAUUCCUGAUUACUUAACUUUUUUUCAAAUAAAACGUAGAUAUUCAUACAUUUGUAAAGCAACUAUAUUACACGGUUAAAUGUCAAAUGAAAUACAAAAAAUUGCGGCAUCUUUCAUACUUGCGCAAUAAACAUAACGUCUAACAUAUAUUACUACUAUUGUAACGUGUAGUAAUAAUAGUAAUAACAAUAAUAAUAAAUAAUUAUCGGAAAAAAUCUACUCCGUCAGAAAAAUUAACUUCGUUAUUUGAGUUGUUAGAGAUGAUACGAAAAAAAAAGAAAUAGAAAAAAAAAGAGGAUAACAGCUUUUUUACAAUUUUCGAGAUAAACGAAUGGAAAGAUAUAACAAAUAUCUAUUUUUUUAAUAAUUUUCUCAUGGAAUGUGCGACUGCUUACGCCAAUGGUUCAUGCGAAUGGAAAUUUCCGUUAGCGCAGAGGCCUCGUAUGUAAGCCGACGGUGUGUCACCGUCUUCUCGUUGGUCGGUCGGUCAUUAGGCGAAAAUUGCAAUGACACUACGAGAGGACACGAAUGAGAGUUUUAGGUCUAUGGUGUUUCGAAAAGAAGCUCAGGUCGAUGACUUGUGUAGAAUAGGACUGACGAUCGAUACUACUGCACGAUGUUACUAUUUCUGAUUCACUUUGAAUUAUUUUUCGAGUUUAAUGUGUAACUCCGUUACGACAAUGAAGAUAAUUUUGAUCACAAUUAAUAAUAAACGAAGAAGCGAAAGACACCUAUCAUCUUUAUAUUAUACUUUAAUUGCAUCUUCUUAUUUAAAAAUAAUUAUUAUGAAUUAACGAAAUAAAUUAUACAAUAUAUAUAUAUAAAUCAUUAAAUCAACGAAAGUCAAGAUAAAUCUGCUAAAAAUAUAAUAAUCUUUACGUUUCCUCUAUUUUUAGCAAUGAAAUUCGACGUAAUUAAUUAAGUACAUUAAAAUGUGGUUUGGGUCGUUACAUCAAUCAAAGUCAAGAUAAAUUAUUUAAACAAAAAAUAAUAUUUACGAUUUGUGUAAAUCAGAAAUUCAUCGAAACGACGAGUUAUUAUUAACAUAAUGUUUUGUCAUUACAACAGUUCAUUUAACUUUGAAUUAAUUAUGAAUUAAAAUACCAUCUACGAUAUGAUGUAUUCAUAUCAAUGAAUCAAUCAAAAUCAAAUAUACAUUGUUAAAAAAGAAUAAUUUCUAUGAUUUCUGUAAUUUAUUUAAAUAUAUCUAUCUAUUUCUAACAUCAUGACGUUAUCUCUUGAUUAUUAUUUUCAAUAUCAUUUAA